rnacentral:rRNA from 1 species
UACAGAGGGUGCAAGCGUUAAUCGGAAUUACUGGGCGUAAAGGGUGUGUAGGUGGUUUGAUAAGUUGGGUGUGAAAGUCCUGGGCUUAACCUAGGGAUUGCGCUCAAUACUGUUAAGCUAGAGUACUGUAGAGGAAGGUGGAAUUUCCAGUGUAGCGGUGAAAUGCGUAGAUAUUGGAAGGAACAUCAGUGGCGAAGGCGACUUUCUGGACAGAUACUGACACUGAGGCACGAAAGCGUGGGGAGCAAACAGG